rnacentral:rRNA from 1 species
GCAUUCAAUAAGAGGUCUAGCCUGGCCAGUGACCUAGUUCAACGGCCGCGGUAUCCUAACCGUGCGAAGGUAGCGUAAUCACUUGUUCUUUAAAUGAGGACUAGUAUGAAUGGCAUCACGAGGGUUAUACUGUCUCCUUUCUCUAAUCAGUGAAACUAAUCUUCCCGUGAAGAAGCGGGAAUUAACAUAUAAGACGAGAAGACCCUAUGGAGCUUUAAAUAUAUAACAAGUGCUUCUUUCUAUCUCACAUCCUGAUGAAUAAUUUUUAAUCUAGCAUUUUAACUUAUAGAUUUUAGGUUGGGGUGACCAUGGAGCAAAAACUAACCUCCAUAUUGAAAAACCUCAUUUUUAAGCAAAAAGUUACUACUUUAAGCAUCAACAUAUUGACAUUAAUUGACCCAAUAAUUUGAUCAAUGAACCAAGUUACCCUAGGGAUAACAGCGCAAUCUACUUCAAGAGCUCUUAUCGACAAGUAGGUUUACGACCUCGAUGUUGGAUCAGGGUGUCCUAGUGGUGCAGCCGCUACUAAAGGUUCGUUUGUUCAACGAUUAAAACCCUACGUGAUCU